rnacentral:rRNA from 1 species
GCGUUGUCCGGAUUUAUUGGGCGUAAAGAGCGCGUAGGCGGCUCGGAAAGUCGGUUGUGAAAUCCCAGGGCUCAACCCCGGGACUGCGUCCGAUACUGCCGAGCUAGAGGCAGGUAGGGGAGAUCGGAAUUCCUGGUGUAGCGGUGAAAUGCGCAGAUAUCAGGAGGAACACCGGUGGCGAAGGCGGAUCUCUGGGCCUGUCCUGACGCUGAGGCGCGAAAGCUAG